GUAAGAGUAGAGGGCUAGCCGCUAGGCUACGGUGGAUAUUCGUUUUUUAAAGAAAUGUGGACUUAUUUAAUCACAAAGAUAAAUAUAUCUUAUCUAGGAUACCAUUUGUGAUAUUCAGGAUGGGUUUCCAAAAAUCGAAUAUGAAAAUGAGAUUGUCAAGAUACAAGACCACUAAGCCAAGAUGUUAUAUCUCAAAAUGAGUAAGCUUUUAAAAGCAAUAUAAGCAAUUUUCUUGCUGAUUGAUAAAAAAAUUAAAAAAUGUUCUGAUUCCAUUAAGGAAAAAGUGACCAUAAAACAUGAUGUGAGUUUCAUAAUACAUAAAUAUCACUACAAUAAAAAUGUGUAUUGAUAGCACAUUGUGAUAGCUUUGUUUUUCAAACUGCUAUCAAAGAUAAAUUUUUCGAUUUUGGUAUACAUUAAUAGCAGUUAAUUAAAGCUAUCGUGAAAAAUUAGUAAGCGAGAAUAAAAAUGAUGCAUACCGCCCAUACUUAGAUGAACUUGAGAUAAAACCGUGAAAUACCAAAAUUUUCCCUCUUUACUAUGACACAUUCUCUACUUAAAGAUGCAAAAUUUAGUUUUGACAAAAAAAAAGUAGAGUCACCAAAAAAAAAAAAACUUCUCUCUCUCGACAAAUCUCACUUCUUAUCUUCUCCGAUGUAUAUCUCCCUCUCACUUUCUCCAGAUCUUACUUCUCUUCUUCAACAAUUCUCACUUCUCCUCUUCUUUCAAAAAUCGUUUUGGGGUAUUGUGUUCUCUCUGUGUUUCAAUAAAUCUAGGCUUUCUCAUUCCCUUUCUUUCCUAGGGUCUAAAACACGAGAGACAGAAGAAAAGAGAGACGAGACGAAAUGGAGAUAGAGAGGAGAGAGAGCUCCGGUCGUGUCUUGCGUCGUCUCCGAUAAUCAGAGCUUGGGUUGGGUGGGGUCUUGCUUUGUCUCCGCCGUUUUUUCCUCAGCUUCAUAGAACCGCCGUGUUCAUGUUCCGCUGCUGCUUGUACCUUUUUCAGCACUUGUCUCAAGAGAAGAGUUUGAGUCAAGCGAUAAGAGAAGGCAGAAGAUGGAGACAAGGGAAGAGACAUCCUGCCACUCGAGCUUGCAAUCUAAGAUACAUAGGAGAUGGAGACGAGGAGAAGAAUAAGAGCCGGAGAAAACAGAGGUGGAGUUUCAGAUUCAAAACGAGAGAAAACACAAGAGCAAGGAAGAAGAAGAUGAGAAUGACAAAGUGGCUGUAGGCGAGGAACUCAUGUACUUGGAGAAUCUAGAGGCGUGUGUCUGCGGGAAGUUAUGAAUAUACAAGAUCUUGAUUCUUAUAAGGAAGCUUUGUUGAUUUCUCAAGACCUGUUCGUUCAAUUGCUUUAAAGAAUCAGCUUUAUGCUGCCGUUGGUUCUCUGUUACUAACUACCAUCUUCUUCUUCUCUAGUAAGUAGUGGUCAUCUCAUUCUUCUAUGGAUAUAUUAAUCUUCAAUAGUCUUCUUGCCUUCUUGUUUGCGGUUUAGUAGUGUUUGAUUUUUUUUGGCAGUUAAAGAAGUGAAACAUAAAGUAGAAGAAGAAGGAGACAAACAUGGAGAAGUUGCUUUAGGGAAUAUUUUUCGGCAAAAAUUAUUUCACUAAGUCCUCGUGUUCAAGGGCUAGAAUCUGAGCUUAGUGUUCAUUUUGUUCUCUCAUAUGUUAGGAAGUAAGAAUGUCUGCUGCUGGUGGAAUGGCGAGUGAAGAAGUUGGCGAGGAAGUACCUUUUAUUCUAUGGUACGUCUCUGUCUUUCAAUGAUUAAAUCAAGAGUUUAUGUUAAUUGAACAUGUUAAGGACUACUUUCAGAGCAGCAGCAAAGUCAGAAACUUCAAAGUGAUGGCUCUCCAAUCUGAUAACAUCACAAUCAAUAGAGUUGAGAGUCUUCUCAAAAGACACCAAACCUUUUACUGACCGGAUCACCGCUGAGUACAUCUGUACAUGACGAGCACCUGGAGAAGAUACUGAAGUGAUUCUCUAGUAAGACUUCUCUCAAGUGUUGGUACUAAAUGAAGCUUAGAAGCUCUCACGAGAAGCACACUUGCCGUCUCAUCUUAUGCUGUAACAGUUCUGACAGUCCCUCAGCAAGAUGACCAGGCAGAUGCAUACACCAACGAAGUUUAUGUAUUGUGGCAUGAUCUCAGCAGUGGUAGGCGGUUUAAUAUGUAUAACGCUUAUACAACCGUAGACGAGAAAGCUCUAACUGCAUAAAACCUUAAGGCACAUUUCUGAAAUGUUCUUAUAUUCCUUAACUUAUAUGUUCUAAAGAAGAAGUUCUUGGAACACCAACUCUGGAGGUUAUCAAGGUGCAUCCCCCUACGCUCUGUGUGAGAUACAGGCUAAGGCCAAGAAGAAAAUAGGAGCAAGGUUUUGAUUUAGUUCCCAUGUUUUCUAGUCCCUUUAUAUUAGUUCUGAUUUUAUAAUGAUGUUUGUGUAAGAUUUGAUGAAAAUGUAGACAUGUUUGUGGUAUUGAUGUAAGUACAUUUUGGUUUAUUAAUGAAAUAUAAAUUGAAUAUUA